GAGAGUUAAAUAGUACGUGAAAUUGUUGAAAGGGAAACGAUUGAAGUCAGUCAUGCCGGUGAGAAUCAACUUUGGGGAAGGGGGAUUUUUUUGAACCUAACCUUGAAGUGCACUUCUUCGCUUGGCAGGUUAGCGUCGAUUUUAAACGUCAUAAAAUGAUUGGGGGAAGGUAGCUCUUUCGGGAGUGUUAUAGCCCUUAAUUAAUGUGAUAUUUGGGAUCGAGGAUUGCAACGGAUACCUUUUAGGGCUAGCCGCCUGGCCUCUGAUUCGAUGUUGGGUUAUAGACAGCACGCUGACUAUGAUCUGAUUAUUGGUCAAAAGGUUAGAGCGAGCAUAAAUUCGUUAAGGACGCUGACGUAAUGGCUUUAAACGA
rnacentral:rRNA from 1 species